GGAACCGGUCAGACGGUCGCUGUGCCGCUAUGCAGUACAGAGGAAAGUCCGGACUCCAUCGGACAGGGUGCCAGGUAACACCUGGGAGGCGUGAGCCUACGGACAGUGCCACAGAAAAUAUACCGCCUAUGUUCGCAAGAGCAGGUAAGGGUGAAAUGGUGUGGUAAGAGCACACCGCAUAAUGGGUAACCGUUAUGGCAGGGUAAACCCCACCCGGAGCAAGACCAAAUAGAGGAACGUUAUCGUGUGGUCCACACGGUUCCCGGGUAGGUCGCUACAGGCAUCUGGUAACAGGUGUCGCAGAUGAAUGACCGUCCUCGACAGAACCCGGCUUAUCGACCGGUUCCCUUU
rnacentral:RNase_P_RNA from 1 species